UUCUAAUAGUAAUCAUUAUUAGUAAGCCCUGCUCAAUGAUACUUUUAAUAGCCGCAAUAACAUGUGCUAAGGUAGCAUAAUAACUUGCCUAUUAAUUAUAGGCUAGAAUGAAAGGGUCAACACGAAUAAUUCUUUAUUUAUCUAAUUAAUCUAAUUUUAUUUAUAAGUAAAAAAGCUUAUAUAAAUAAGAAGGACGACAAGACCCUGUCGAACUUAACUUCAGUUAAGCUGGGGUGGCAAGAAAACUAAAUCUUAUCUAUAUUUUUAUGAAAAAUAAACAACUAUGUGAAUAUUAACAAGUUACCGCAGGGAUAACAGCAUAAUUUUUUCUAAUAGAUCUCAUAUAAGAAAAAGAUUGUGACCUCGAUGUUGAAUUAAUUUUACUUAUUGGUGCAGCAUCUAAACAAGUAAGUCUGUUCGACUUUUAAAAAAUUACA
rnacentral:rRNA from 1 species